rnacentral:rRNA from 1 species
AACCCUUGCCAUCAGUUGCUACGAAAGGGCACUCUGAUGGGACUGCCGGUGACAAACCGGGAGGAAGGUGGGGAUGACGUCAAGUCCUCAUGGCCCUUAUAGGUGGGGCUACACACGUCAUACAAUGGCCGGUACAAAGGGCAGCCAACCCGCGAGGGGGAGCCAAUCCCAUAAAGCCGGUCGUAGUCCGGAUCGCAGUCUGCAACUCGACUGCGUGAAGCCGGAAUCGCUAGUAAUCGUGGAUCAGCAUGUCACGGUGAAUACGUUCCCGGGUCUU